rnacentral:rRNA from 1 species
GAUGAACGCUGACAGAAUGCUUAACACAUGCAAGUCAACUUGAAUUUGGGUUUUUAUCUUAGGUUUGGGUGGCGGACGGGUGAGUAACGCGUAAAGAACUUGCCUCACAGCUAGGGACAACAUUUGGAAACGAAUGCUAAUACCUAAUAUUAUGAUAAUAGGGCAUCCUAUAAUUAUGAAAGCUAUAAGCGCUGUGAGAGAGCUUUGCGUCCCAUUAGCUAGUUGGAGAGGUAACGGCUCACCAAGGCGAUGAUGGGUAGCCGGCCUGAGAGGGUGAUCGGCCACAAGGGGACUGAGACACGGCCAUUACUCCUACGGGAGGCAGCAGUGGGGAAUAUUGGACAAUGGACCAAGAGUCUGACCCAGCAAUUCUGUGUGCACGAUGAAGUUUUUCGGAAUGUAAAGUGCUUUCAGUUGGGAAGAAAGAAAUGACGGUACCAACAGAAGAAGUGACGGCUAAAUACGUG